CUAAGAUUUGCAAAUAUCCUUCAUGAGGAAAUGAUAUUAAGAACGGUCCUCUAUGACCCUAAGUAUGUGUACGUGCAUUUCAGUUUUAGCUGCAUGCAAUUGGGUUUCCUUUAAAUGAACUGUCGGGGGAGUAAGGAAGGGCCAGAUGGCUGGCUUCCUGUGGAUGGCAGAAUAAGGAGAAAUCCUGAAGAUGAGAAAUCCAAAGCCAGUUCUUCUUAGUGCAGACAAUGGAUGAACAUAGCUUGAGCAAAUACCAUGCCUGACUUCCAGAAUCUUCCUUUGUGUUUCCAUAUGGUUCUGAGAAAAUGAACUGGGGAGAUGCGAAAGAGAAAUCCAGUUCAUGUAUACAACUGCAACACUCGUGAGGCAUGGCUUUAGUGAUAGGUGGGAAGCGGCUGGUGGAUUCCCCUUCUUCACAUUUGGCCGGCGGCUUCAGAUCGGGACAAAACUUUUUGGUUGUUUUUUUGGACAUUUUGAACAGUUUUCCCACAACUGACUCAGAACUCAACGGUGGCCAUCGGUCAUUUGGCUUCAUAGCCACCCAUUUUCAAAUAUGCAUUCAAGGCCCUCCUUCAACGUCUUCUUAAUGCCAGUGCUGUUGAAAAACUUCCAGCUAGACAGAGGAGGAGGGAGAAAGUGGGCUUGGCAAGUACAAAAAGCCUUUGUAAAAAGGAGCAUCAUUGUCAGAGGUCUGUAUUUUGGGGUAGGAAUUAAUAUCAACUAGCAUCACAGAAGGCUUGCUCAUUGUGGAGAUGAAAACUGCUAGAAAUAGUUUAUUGACAUGGAUCAAGUGAUUUUAGACGCUUCUUUGGGGUAAAGAGAUGACAGCUGUCGCAACGAAUGCCUACAUUUCAAAAGGCUUCACUUUACCACUGACAAGCACCCAUACAUUUUCCCUUCAAGGGAACCCAACCUUGCAAUCCAGACUGGAUUUUUGUUCCAUUUGGAAAGAAGCAGUGAGAGAUCUGAGUAGGAAUCCACUCAUCUUGCAAGUAAUCGGGACCCAGAAUGGAGCAUCGCCCUAAAUAAUUCACAAACUAUCUUUGGUGCUUCAAAUAAACAAGAAAAAGAGGCCGGCUUGACGGUUUCAUUGCCUUAUUACAAAUGUGGCCAAAGGAACUGCAACCUUUUUAUGGGACACUUUCAUAACAACUGCAAGUUAAAUAGCUUUUCACCUCUAUCCUUCAUCACAGCUUAAGAGGGCUGAUUUCCCUGUGUGAGAGAAGGCUGAGCUCAGCUGACACUAUUUCAUAUCUUUUUUUUAUGACGGGCAGCAGCAAAAGACAAAUAGCACUUUGAGAAAUUUCGAUGCAUCUAUUAUUCAAGAAGGUUAAGCAACUAAUGAGGGAACAUUUUUCAAAGCUUUCCCUGCAGAAGCUGUUUACAAUUAAGUUUCCUGCAAAGAAACGAAGUCUUUCUUUCAGCUUAGAUAGAGGAGCAGGAAGGAUGUUGAGUGCCUUUCUAAUCAGCAGCAGUUAUCUUGAGCUGCAUCCAUGAUGCAGAAAUAAUCUGGUUUGGCACCACUUUAACUGCCAUGGCUCAAUAUUAUGAAGUUCUGGAAACUGUAGUUCGUUUGUGGCACCAGGGCAGUUAAAGUGGUGUCAAACUGGAUUAUUUCUGCAGUGAGGAUGCUGCCUUUAUGAUCACAACACAGUGAGGGUGGGGAAACUUUCUGUGUGUAUUCUGGACUCCAUGUUCAUUACAGCAACAGUCACAUUUCUAAUGUGAAGCUGAAGGCUCUCAUGGCCGGCAUCCAUAGUUCUUUGUGGGUUUUUCGGGCUAUGUGGUCAUGUUCUAGAAGAGUUUAUUCCUGAUGUUUCGCCAGUAUCUGUGGCUGGCAUCUUCAGAGAAGUCACAUUUCUUCUCCUAAUGAUGUCUUUUUUGGCCCCACAUGCUUACCACGAUUUUCACAUGAGUAUGCUCCUAACUUAGGGGCAAAGCAGACUGGCAAAAACACCAGUUUAAGGGAGGCGUGAAGUUUGGCAUAUGCACUCCACACAUACUGACGCUAUCCCCAAGGUGGCACCAUGCUGCCCUGCUGAUCACAGUGCAAGUGGCAUCAUGGUGUUUCUGCGGCACAGCAUUUAUGCGCUGUGCUACAUAAAUGAGGAAAAAUUGCUGUGGCUGUAGAAAAGCUGGCUUUUUACUAGCUUAAAAAGGAGUGGCAUUUUGACGCUUCUUUUUGAGCCAGCAAAUAGCUGGAUCAGGACUGUGGCAUGCAGUUGCCACCCCUUUGCAGCCAUCUGUUUCGACCCUUACUCAUACAGGGAUGCGGUGGCUUAGAGGUUAAGAUGCCAAUUCUGAUGAUCAGAAGAUUGGAAGGUUGGCAUUUCGAGGCGCAAAUACUGCAUGAUGGGGUGAGCCCCCCCAUAAUUGUCCCCUACAAUCCUUGUAGUUUUAAGAAUCUAUUGGAGGCUGUCUUACUCUCCUUCUGUGCUGAGUAUACUUCUAGCUAAGUCUGCCCUGCCCCCCUGAAUUAUUCUAAAAAGUUGGAAAACAUUUUAAGAAAGAGGUUGAAUAGCAGAAGAAAACUGUGCUAUUGUAGUCAAAUGGGGACUUGCAGAAAGAUAAUGCAAGGGCUAAACUGGAAUUAUGGCACAGUUUGACUGCAACAGUUCAGAACACCUCCGGGAAAACAAAACAAAACAAAAGCCAUUGCCAUUAUUUCCAGGACUUUGAAUUAGAGCUAUGCAGUUCUGUUGGUCAUUUUCAGUUACUCUUUUCGUCAAUGAUGGUGAAUUAUAUCACAGAGCAAGGGGUCCGACUUCAGUUUCCUGUAAUGAGAUUUGUUACACAAAGGAAUGUAAGACUUAAUGAUUUCUCAGGGAAAGGUAUUCAUUCAAAAAAAUAAAGAAACACUUUAGAACCUCUCCAGUACACUCAUGGGACUGAAUGAGAAGAAAGGCCUUUUGUCAACUUAAUGCUUCCUUGUGAAGUUAAGAACAGAUAUAGAGGAAUGAAAUGGGAAGCCUGGCAUAGGCAAUGCGGGGAGGCUUAAUUGCCUGGCUUCGGUUGUCGUCUUGAUAUGGAUCUCAUCUUCCACCUUUACUAGCACCUUUAUGAAGAUUGGUGCCAGUGGAAGAUCUGCUACUCCCAUCUCCAUACUCUCCAAUUGUCCCCAUUUGUCAGGGACAGUGCUGAUUAAUCCUUUGUCAUCCCACUUUUUCAACUGCUUUUUAAAUACAGCCAGCCCUCCAC